CCUACGGGUGGCAGCAGUGAGGAAUAUUUGUCAAUGGACGAGAGUCUGAACCAGCCAAGUAGCGUGAAGGAUGACUGCCCUAUGGGUUGUAAAUGUCUUUUAUAAAGGAAUAAAACGAGGCACGUGUGCCUUAUUGCAUGUACUUUAUGAAUAAGGAUCGGUUAACUCCGUGCGAGCAGCCGCGGUAAUACGGAGGUGCCGAGUGUUAUCCGGAUUUAUUGGGUUUAAGGGGUGCGUAGAUGGGUUGUUAAGUCAGUGGUGAAGGUCUGCGGCUCAUCCGGUAAAGUGCCAUUGAUACUGGCAGUCUUGAGUACAGUUGCGGGAGGCGGAAUGCGUGGUGUAGCGGUGAAAUGCUUAGAUAUCACGAAGAACACCGAUUGCGAAGGCAGCUUACUAAACUGUGACUGACACUGAUGCACGAAAGUGUGGGUAUCAAACAGGAUUAGAUACCCCUGUAGUC
rnacentral:rRNA from 1 species